CAAGUUGACAAAUAAAUAGUUUAAAAU
rnacentral:rasiRNA from 1 species